AACGAACGCUGGCGGCAGGCUUAACACAUGCAAGUCGAGCGCCCCGCAAGGGGAGCGGCAGACGGGUGAGUAACGCGUGGGAAUCUACCUAGUGGUACGGAACAACACAGGGAAACUUGUGCUAAUACCGUAUAAGUCCUUCGGGAGAAAGAUUUAUCGCCAUUAGAUGAGCCCGCGUCGGAUUAGCUAGUUGGUGGGGUAACGGCCCACCAAGGCGACGAUCCGUAGCUGGUCUGAGAGGAUGAUCAGCCACACUGGGACUGAGACACGGCCCAGACUCCUACGGGAGGCAGCAGUGGGGAAUAUUGGACAAUGGGCGCAAGCCUGAUCCAGCCAUGCCGCGUGAGUGAUGAAGGCCUUAGGGUUGUAAAGCUCUUUCGGCGGGGAAGAUAAUGACGGUACCCGCAGAAGAAGCCCCGGCUAACUUCGUGCCAGCCGCCGCAGUAACAC
rnacentral:rRNA from 1 species